ACACUGUACCUGGCAAGGGAGAUUACUGUGUUCAUAGAAGGCGGUUCACCCAGGUGAGGCUUAGCCACUUGCACUCCGGCUGUGCUGAAGCCUUGAAUUUCCCAAAAAAUGUGGAACAUCUAUGCGGCAUUAAUUUAUGUAGUGGGGACUGCCGUCCGGGCAAGCAUGAG